CCUACGGGAGGCAGCAGUGGGGAAUUUUGGACAAUGGGCGCAAGCCUGAUUCAGCAAUGCCGCGUGAGUGAAGAAGGCCUUCGGGUUGUAAAGCUCUUUUGUCAGGGAAGAAACGGUGGGAGCUAAUAUCUCCUACUAAUGACGGUACCUGAAGAAUAAGCACCGGCUAACUACGUGCCAGCAGCCGCGGUAAUACGUAGGGUGCAAGCGUUAAUCGGAAUUACUGGGCGUAAAGCGUGCGCAGGCGGUUUUGUAAGUCUGUCGUGAAAGCCCCGGGCUCAACCUGGGAAUUGCGAUGGAGACUGCAAGGCUUGAAUCUGGCAGAGGGGGGUAGAAUUCCACGUGUAGCAGUGAAAUGCGUAGAGAUGUGGAGGAACACCGAUGGCGAAGGCAGCCCCCUGGGUCAAGAUUGACGCUCAUGCACGAAAGCGUGGGGAGCAAACAGGAUUAGAUACCCUGGUAGUCCACGCCCUAAACGAUGUCUACUAGUUGUCGGGUUUUAAUUAACUUGGUAACGCAGCUAACGCGUGAAGUAGACCGCCUGGGGAGUACGGUCGCAAGAUUAAAACUUAAGGAAUUGACGG
rnacentral:rRNA from 1 species